CCUACGGGAGGCAGCAGUGGGGAAUAUUGCACAAUGGGGGAAACCCUGAUGCAGCGACGCCGCGUGAGCGAUGAAGUAUUUCGGUAUGUAAAGCUCUAUCAGCAGGGAAGAAAAGGACGGUACCUGACUAAGAAGCCCCGACUAACUACGUGCCAGGAGCCGCGGUAAUAAGUAGGGGGCAAGCGGUAACCGGAUUGACUGGGUGGAAAGGGGGCGCAGACGGCGAUGCAAGCCAGGAGUGAAAGCCCGGGGCCCAACCCCGGGACUGCUCUUGGAACUGCGUGGCUGGAGUGCAGGAGGGGCAGGCGGAAUUCCUGGUGUAGCGGUGACAUGCGUAGAUAUCAGGAGGAACACCGGUGGCGAAGGCGGCCUGCUGGACUGCAACUGACGUUGAGGCCCGAAAGCGUGGGGAGCAAACAGGAUUAGAUACCCGUGUAGUC
rnacentral:rRNA from 1 species